rfam:TPA: Bos taurus chromosome 8, whole genome shotgun sequence.
UCCUUGGUGGUCCAGUGGAUAAGACUCUGUGCUUUCAAUGCUGGGGUCCUGGGUUCAAUCCCCAGUAAGGGAA